rnacentral:lncRNA from 1 species
GGUGGGGUCAUUAAGUGCAAAAAUUCAAAUUUCUCAGAUGGUAAGGUUGUCGCAUAUCAAAUGAAAGAACAUAAAGCGUACAUUUCAAAUUUCAAAUUGACGUCCCCAAAAAAUUGGUUGAAUGGGGUCAUUGAGUGCAAAAAAUAAAUUUUCUUUUACGAUAGGGUUGUUGUAUAUUAAAUGAAAGGUCAUGAUGUGUACAUUUGAAAUAUAAAAUUCCCAACCUCCAAAAAUUGGUUGGAUGGGGUUAUUAAGUGCAAAAAUCAAACUUUUUAGAACAUGGCAAUGUCGCAUAUCAAAUGAAAGCUCAUCUACCCUGUGUUACAUAUAUCAUACUUCUGAUCUCAAAAAUGUAGGCGAAUGAGGUCAUUAAGUGUAAAAAGCGAAAAGUUUCAAAAGGUAUGCUUGUCGUAUAUCAAACGAAAGGUCGUACAAAGAACAUUACGAAAACAUCAAUUUUACAGGAAAGACCUUUCAAUUGUUUUACAAACAAUUGAGAUACUAGUUCUAUUAAUAUUUAUU